UACGGAGGGUGCGAGCGUUGUCCGGAAUCACUGGGCGUAAAGGGCGCGUAGGUGGCUACUCAAGCGCGCGGUGAAAGCCCCCGGCUCAACUGGGGAGGGUCGUGCGAUACGGUCGGACUCGAGGCCAGUAGGGGGACGCGGAAUUCCGGGUGUAGUGGUGGAAUGCGUAGAGAUCCGGAGGAACACCAGCGGCGAAGGCGGCGCCUGGACUGGUACUGACGCUCAGGAGCGAAAGCGUGGGGAGCGAUCCGG
rnacentral:rRNA from 1 species